rnacentral:misc_RNA from 1 species
GAUGAAGAACGUAGCGAAAUGCGAUAAGUAGUGUGAAUUGCAGAAUUCAGUGAAUCAUCGAAUCUUUGAACGCACAUUGUGCCCUUUGGUAUUCCUUAGGGCAUGCCUGUUCGAGCGUCAUUUAAACCUUCAAGCUCAGCUUGGUGUUGGGUGACUGUCCGCUUCACCGCGGACUCGCCUCAAAAUUAUUGGCGGCCGGUACAUUGGCUUCGAGCGCAGCAGAAACGCGAACUCGGGCCCGUCGUAUUGGCUCCCAGAAGCUAUCUUCACAAUUUUGACCUCGGAUCAGGUAGGGAUACCCGCUGAACUUAAGCAUAUCAAUAAGCGGAGGA